GACGAACGCUGGCGGCGUGCCUAAUACAUGCAAGUAGAACGCUGAAGGAGGAGCUUGCUUCUCUGGAUGAGUUGCGAACGGGUGAGUAACGCGUAGGUAACCUGCCUGGUAGCGGGGGAUAACUAUUGGAAACGAUAGCUAAUACCGCAUAAGAGUAGAUGUUGCAUGACAUUUGCUUAAAAGGUGCAAUUGCAUCACUACCAGAUGGACCUGCGUUGUAUUAGCUAGUUGGUGGGGUAACGGCUCACCAAGGCGACGAUACAUAGCCGACCUGAGAGGGUGAUCGGCCACACUGGGACUGAGACACGGCCCAGACUCCUACGGGAGGCAGCAGUAGGGAAUCUUCGGCAAUGGACGGAGGUCUGACCGAGCAACGCCGCGUGAGUGAAGAAGGUUUUCGGAUCGUAAAGCUCGGUUGUAAGAGAAGAACGAGUGUGAGAGUGGAAAGUUCACACUGUGACGGUAUCUUACCAGAAAGGGACGGCUAACUACGUG
rnacentral:rRNA from 1 species